rnacentral:rRNA from 1 species
GAUGAACGCUAGCUACAGGCUUAACACAUGCAAGUCGAGGGGAAACGACAUCGAAAGCUUGCUUUUGAUGGGCGUCGACCGGCGCACGGGUGAGUAACGCGUAUCCAACCUGCCCACCACUUGGGGGAUAACCUUGCGAAAGUAAGACUAAUACCCAAUGACGUCUCUAGAAGACAUCUGAAAGGGAUUAAAGAUUUAUCGGUGAUGGAUGGGGAUGCGUCUGAUUAGCUUGUUGGCGGGGUAACGGCCCACCAAGGCAACGAUCAGUAGGGGUUCUGAGAGGAAGGUCCCCCCACAUUGGAACUGAGACACGGUCCAAACUCCUACGGGAGGCAGCAGUGAGGAAUAUUGGUCAAUGGGCGAGAGCCUGAACCAGCCAAGUAGCGUGCAGGACGACGGCCCCUAUGGGUUGUAAACUGCUUUUAUAAGGGAUAAAGUGAGUCUCGUGAGACUUUUUGCAUGUACCUUAUGAAUAAGACCGGCUAAUUCCGUGCCAGCAGCC